GACGAACGCUGGCGGCGUGCUUAACACAUGCAAGUCGAACGGAAAGGCCUCUUUCGGGGGGUACUCGAGUGGCGAACGGGUGAGUAACACGUGAGUAACCUGCCCUUGACUUUGGGAUAACUUCAGGAAACUGGGGCUAAUACCGGAUAGGAGCUCCUGCUGCAUGGUGGGGGUUGGAAAGUUUCGGCGGUUGGGGAUGGACUCGCGGCUUAUCAGCUUGUUGGUGGGGUAGUGGCUUACCAAGGCUUUGACGGGUAGCCGGCCUGGGAGGGUGACCGGCCACAUUGGGACUGAGAUACGGCCCAGACUCCUACGGGAGGGAGCAGUGGGGAAGGUUGCAAUAUGGGUGGGAGCCUGAUGCAGCAACGCCGGGUGCGGGAUGACGGCCUUCGGGUUGGAAACCGCUUUCGCUCAUGACGAAGCUUUGUGUGACGGUAGUGGGUAAAGAAGCACCGGCUAACUACGUG
rnacentral:rRNA from 1 species